AUUGCCCUACGGGGCGCAGCAGUGGGGAAUAUUGGGCAAUGGGCGCAAGCCUGAUCCAGCGACGCCGCGUGAGUGAAGAAGUAUUUCGGUAUGUAAAGCUCUAUCAGCAGGGAAGAAAGAAAUGACGGUACCUGACUAAGAAGCCCCGGCUAACUACGUGCCAGCAGCCGCGGUAAUACGUAGGGGGCAAGCGUUAUCCGGAUUUACUGGGUGUAAAGGGAGCGUAGACGGCGAUGCAAGUCUGAAGUGAAAGGCGGGGGCCCAACCCCCGGACUGCUUUGGAAACUGUAUAGCUGGAGUGCAGG
rnacentral:rRNA from 1 species